rnacentral:rRNA from 1 species
GACGAACGCUGGCGGCGUGCUUAACACAUGCAAGUCGAACGGUGACGAAUGGAGCUUGCUCUGUUCUGAUCAGUGGCGAACGGGUGAGUAACACGUGAGUAACCUGCCCCUGACUCUGGAAUAACUUCGGGAAACCGAAGCUAAUACCGGAUAUGACACAGAGCCGCAUGGUUUCUGUGUGGAAAGUUUUCGGUUGGGAUGGACUCGCGGCCUAUCAGCUUGUUGGUGAGGUAAUGGCUCACCAAGGCGACGACGGGUAGCCGGCCUGAGAGGCGACCGGCCACACUGGGACUGAGACACGGCCCAGACUCCUACGGGAGGCAGCAGUGGGGAAUAUUGCACAAUGGGCGAAAGCCUGAUGCAGCGACGCCGCGUGAGGGAUGAAGGCCUUCGGUUGUAUACCUCUUUCAGUAGGAAGAAGCGCAAGUGACGGUACC